rnacentral:tRNA from 1 species
GGUGGCUCAGUGCUAGAGCUCUUGCCUUGCAUGCAUGAGGCCCUGGGUUCAAUUCCUCAGCACCA